rnacentral:lncRNA from 1 species
UCCAAAGUCAGGGUUCAUUCCAUUUCCUGUUCUCGUUGUUAAUCGAAUCACUGCAGGAGAUUUAUCUGCUUUGCUCUGUGCUUGAACAUAGUCCUCAAAAUGACUGCAUAUACUUUCAACAAUGUCACUACAACAGAAGAUAUUGCCGUUAAAUUAUGCCUAAGACGAAGGUUGUUGGUCCGAGAUCUUCAACAAAUAACUGGGUUAUCCGAAAGUGGAGACAAACGUUUUUGUUCGCUCCUUAGAAAAGGGAAAUUUUGAUGAUCCUUUCAAUUUAGAGUUGCAAGUCUCGUCGGAGACGAAGAUGAAAUAUUAGGGGAAGGAGAAUUGGAAGUAGUUCGUACACUGAUUACAUUAUAUUUAAUCAAAUUCAACGCUAUAGGUUUUUAUGGACGGCUCCUUAGUAGGUAUUUCAUUCUCAGACCACUCCAUUAAAUAGUAUGCUAGUAGUCAAUGGAAUUAUUGAGAUCUAAGCGGUUGAUGGAAAGACAAAUUUGGUCAGAUUUUGUCUGGAUUUCUUCAGAAGAUUAAAGCGGACUUUCUGUCAAGAGAGUAUCUACAGAUAUAGAAGUUCGGGUUGAGUGAAGAAGUAUUAAACCAGUAAUUUCUCGUUGGUUCCAACCCGAGGUAGACUCAAAGGGAUCUCCUUCCCUCCAUUAGAGCAUAAAAAGAGCAGCAUUACUUCCAGACAAUUCUGAUAGCUCCAGAAUAGACAGGAGCAAAUGGAGGGAUUCUAGAAGAUUGGGAUCAACAAGAAAAAUAAUGUUGUGUCAAGAUCCACAAAAUCUACCCGAGUUGUGGGAUCCUAAUGACAUAGUUAACUUAGAGUAGGGAUGGCAACUCUUGGAAAAGUAAAUAAGGAACACCUCAUUGGAAGGAUCGGGCGAGUGCUUUUUUUUCUAAAUACGGGACAAUUCCAUUUUUCAAGAGACGGUUGGGAACCAAUUUUUUUCAAUUUUCCGAUGUUUUAACUAUUUGACCCUGAAUUUAAUUGGAUUCAUAUUUUUGAAUGACAUGAACACAUAGAAAAAAAAAUAUUCUCCAGCAAUUCACUUUAAUAAUAAACGAAAUCAACUGAAUAAAGUAAGAAUCUUUCUUAAACAAGACCGCUAUCUUGCGUACAUAAAACUGUAUACAUUAAUAUAAAACCUUAGAUAGAAAGUAGAACAUCCAUCCUGAAAUAGUGCAUCUAUAGAACAUCUUCAGAAAAAUUGUAAACAUAUUUGUGCCUCAAAUUCCUUUUCCAGUGGCAUUUUACUAUCCAUUUUUUAAAACUCGUGACAUCAUAAAAAAAGCAUUGGAGCUACGAAUUGCUUAUGGUUCAGGAGGAUACGAGAUGUAUCUUCGACAAAGAUUUUAUCUACCAAGUCUAAGGAAAUUGAGAAGAGAGUUGGAAGUUUUGGAUUUCAAUCCUGGUACUUUAGAGGACGUAAUUACUUUGCUAAAGGCGCUUUACUCAAGACUAUUUUGAGAAUUUGUUCUCUUCUAUAAGAGGAAAAAAUCCUACAGCAAAUGUAAAGGAGUUUAAAAAUGGUCUAAAACUACUGAGAGACAUUACAUCUCUGGGAAAUAUACUGAUACUAUUUGAUGAUUCCGCGUUCCUCACUGAUCUGGAGGAUAUAUCUCAAGAGCUUCCUAGAAAAGCUGAAAUUAACUCUAAUAAAUAAAUAAAUACCUCGAAAAAUUGUCUUUAACUCACUUGGGAGGUUAUUGUAUUCGCAGGACUAUCAAGUUCUCAUGUUUAAAGUUUUAUACUUCUUUAAAUUUACUUUCUAAAGAAAAUUAUUUUUCGGGAUACUCUUUAAUUUAUUGUAGCGAUUCUUCAAUUUCAUUAUUUGAGGAAGCUAUUUUGAAGAAUAUAUUUAAAAGUUACAAUCCAAGAAUAUUUAAGAUAAACAAUCCUAUUGAUGAGAUAUCUUCAUCAAUCCUCAACCUUUUUUCAAUGAAUUUAUUACUUCUUGUCAUCCUGAAGCAUUGGGUAAAAUUGUAAAAGAAAAAAGUUCUUUUUGUAAAAUAGUAGCUACCAAUUACAAGUUUUUUUUAUUAUUAAAGAGAAAAAUAUAAAAUUUGAAGAUAGCUCAAAUGUGUUAGUGGGAAGUAAUGCGAGAAAAAGCUUAAAAAUGAGGCAAAUUGUGUCUUAAUUUGUUAAUCCUCUGUUUUUUGUCUAUCAUUUUCAAUGAAAAUACUUAAUUUUGUAUGUAAUUAAGUAUUUGAUUCAAUUUUACAAUAUUCAUUUAUGUAAGCUAAGGGCUUUACGUUAUUAGUUCAUAUUUUUCUCUUUAGAUGACGCGCAAAAUGACCAAACUCUCCUUUUCUAAUUAGGGACUGGGAUUAAGUAACGUAUAUACACUACAGUGGAUAAUCACAUGUGACAUUAUGCCACACGACUUAUAUAAUAAAGGAAGAAUAAAAUGAAUUGUACACAU